rnacentral:lncRNA from 1 species
CUAAUUCUUUCUUCAAAUCUUGAUCUAAAGGAAGAUGGAUUCUUCUUUAGCCACACAAAUAUUUAGCCUCCAUGGGUAUCCACUCAGGAUCAGUCAGGAUUGAUCCUCUUUGGUGUAAAUCUUUCUUCUCCAAGAAUGAUCUCCCUAUGAAUCUGAACCAAGUUUGGAUCUUUUGAUCAACUCUUGAUCUUUCUUUGAUCUUCUUUUUCUCUCUUACUUAAUCUCCUUUCUUU